rnacentral:rRNA from 1 species
AGGACGAACGCUGGCGGCGUGCCUAACACAUGCAAGUCGAACGAAGCUUGAAUUCAGAUUCUUCGGAAUGACGAAUGAUAUGACUGAGUGGCGGACGGGUGAGUAACGCGUGAGCAACCUGCCCUUCGGAGGGGGAUAGUGUCUGGAAACGGACAGUAAUACCGCAUAACGUACAGAGACGGCAUCGUCAUUGUACCAAAGAUUUAUCGCCGAGGGAUGGGCUCGCGUCUGAUUAGAUAGUUGGUGGGGUAACGGCCUACCAAGUCGACGAUCAGUAGCCGGACUGAGAGGUUGAUCGGCCACAUUGGGACUGAGACACGGCCCAGACUCCUACGGGAGGCAGCAGUGGGGGAUAUUGCACAAUGGGCGCAAGCCUGAAUGCAGCAACGCCGCGUGGAGGAAGACGGUUUUCGGAUUGUAAACUCCUGUUCUUAGGGAAGAAGACAGUGACGGUACCUAAGGAGCAAGCCACGGCUAACUACGUGCCAGCCGCGGC